AUUGAACGCUGGCGGCAGGCCUAACACAUGCAAGUCGAACGAGUGGCGGACGGGUGAGUAAUGUCUGGGAAACUGCCUGAUGGAGGGUGAUAACUACUGGAAACGGUAGCUAAUACCGCAUACCAUCAGAUGUGCCCAGAUGGGAUUAGCUAGGUGGUGGGGUAACGGCUCACCAAGGCGACGAUCCCUAGCUGGUCUGAGCGGAUGACCAGCCAACCGGGAACUGAACAACGGGCACGACUCCUACGGGAGGCAGCAGUGGGGAAUAUUGCACAAUGGGCGCAAGCCUGAUGCAGCCAUUCCGCGUGUAUGAAGAAGGCCUUCGGGUUGUAAAGUACUUUCAGCGGGGAGGCGUUACCCGCAGAAGAAGCACCGGCUAACUCCGUGCCAGCAGCCGCGGUAAUAC
rnacentral:rRNA from 1 species